UGGGGAAUAUUGCACAAUGGGCGCAAGCCUGAUGCAGCCAUGCCGCGUGUAUGAAGAAGGCCUUCGGGUUGUAAAGUACUUUCAGCGGGGAGGAAGGCGAUGCGGUUAAUAACCGCGUCGAUUGACGUUACCCGCAGAAGAAGCACCGGCUAACUCCGUGCCAGCAGCCGCGGUAAUACGGAGGGUGCAAGCGUUAAUCGGAAUUACUGGGCGUAAAGCGCACGCAGGCGGUCUGUCAAGUCGGAUGUGAAAUCCCCGGGCUCAACCUGGGAACUGCAUCCGAAACUGGCAGGCUUGAGUCUCGUAGAGGGGGGUAGAAUUCCAGGUGUAGCGGUGAAAUGCGAAGAGAUCUGGAGGAAUACCGGUGGCGAAGGCGGCCCCCUGGACGAAGACUGACGCUCAGGUGCGAAAGCGUGGGGAGCAAACA
rnacentral:rRNA from 1 species